AUACCGGCGGCUCGAGUGGUGGCCACUUUUAUUGGGCUUAAAGCGUUCGUAGCUGGGUUGUUAAGUCUCUUGGGAAAUCUGGCAGCUUAACUGUCAGGCGUCUAAGAGAUACUGGCAAUCUAGGAACCGGGAGAGGUGAGGGGUACUUCGGGGGUAGGAGUGAAAUCCUGUAAUCCUCGAGGGACCACCUGUGGCGAAGGUGCCUCACCAGAACGGCUUCGACAGUGAGGGACGAAAGCUGGGGGAGCAAACCGGAUUAGAUACCCGGGUAGUCCCAGCCGUAAACUAUGCGCGUUAGGUGUAUCGGUGACCACGAGUUACCGAGGUGCCGAAGGGAAACCGUGAAACGUGCCGCCUGGGAAGUACGGUCGCAAGGCUGAA
rnacentral:rRNA from 1 species